UAAAAAUUUAUGAUUUUAAAGAUUUAUUUUUAAUUUAUUUUAUAUGCAAAUUUUAGUGUUAAUUUUUAAUUAUUUUAAUAAUAAUUUAAAUUUUGUAGUAAAUAAUAUUAAAAAUUUAAGAAAUUAAGAUUUAGUAAUAUUAAAAUUAAUAACAAAUUUUGUGCCAGCAGUUGCGGUUAAACAAAAAUUAAAAUAAAUUUUUUUAGUUUGUAAUAAAUAAUUAUUAAAAAAAUUAAAUAUUAAAUUAUUAAGUAAAAUUUUAAUUUAAUUAAAAUUUAUAUUUUAUUAUGAUUUAAUAAAUUUAUAAAUAAACUAGGAUUAGAUACCCUAUUAUUAAAAAUUUAAUUUAUAAUACUAAAAUAGUAAAUAUAUUUAAUUAUUGAAACUUAAGUAAUUUGGCGGUAUUUUAGUUCAUUUAGAGGAAUCUGUUUAAUAAUUGAUAAUCCACGAUUAAAUUUACUUAAUUUUUUAUUUUGUAUAUCGUUGUUAAAAAAAUAUUUUUAAAUAAAAAUAAUAUUUAAAAAUUAUUAAUAUAAAUUAGUUCAGAUCAAGAUGCAGAUUAUAAUUAAGAAUAUAAUGGAUUACAAAAAAUUUAUUUAAAUGGAUGAUAUUUUGUAAUAAUUAUUUGAAAGUGGAUUUAAAUGUAAUUUUAUUUAAUUUAAUAAAAUGAUUAAAAAUUAAAAUAUGUACAUAUUGCCCGUCGCUUUCAUUUAAAAAUUGGAAUAAGUCGUAACAAAGUAGAGGUACUGGAAAGUGUUUCUAGAAAGAC
rnacentral:ncRNA from 1 species